rnacentral:lncRNA from 1 species
AUUGAUGAGGCUGUUAUAGUGGAGCAUGAUGAGAAUUCGGUGGAAUUAGUUGUUUAUUGUGAAGGGGAAUACCACUCCAAGUUAUCUAGUUUUUGUUUGGCUAAAGUGGGUCACUUUGGAGACCAGGUUUAUGAUUCCACCGAGAGAGAUGACUUAACUCAUAAAAUCAAGAAAGAUAGUCAUGUGCUUGUGAAGAUUGGUAAGACAAAGGAAUACAUCUUGCUCGGAAAGAAAGUCGAUGAAGUCAAGCAUAGGUGGAAACACAAAAAAGAGAGACGAUUAUUGGGCAGAACCUUGAGGACAAGGUUCAUUUCAAGAGGGGUGGUUUGAU